rnacentral:lncRNA from 1 species
CGAGACUGGUUUGAAUCUCAUCAAAACCAGAUGAAAAGUUUGUGGCUUCAUGAGAAGAAGAUUCAUUACUACCGUAGCUUGCAGGAUUUAGUGGUUGGAAUUCUUGGAAUGGGCAAUAUUGGGAAAGAAGUUGCAAGAUGCCUCAAAGCAUUCCGAUGCACAGUGCAG